GACGAACGCUGGCGGCGUGCUUAACACAUGCAAGUCGAGCGGUAAGGCCCUUUCGGGGGUACGACGAGCGGCGAACGGGUGAGUAACACGUGGGUGACCUGCCCUCAGCUCUGGGAUAAGCCUGGGAAACGUGGGUCUAAUACUGGAUAUGACUCCACGGUGCAUGUCGUGGGGUGGAAAGCCUUGUGCGGCUGAGGAUGGGCCCGCGGCCUAUCAGCUUGUUGGUGGGGGAUGGCCUACCAAGGCGACGACGGGUAGCCGGCCUGAGAGGGCGACCGGCCACACGU
rnacentral:rRNA from 1 species